UCCUUUCUUCUUCCUCCGUAGCUGUUUCUACUCUCUGACGGCUUUUAGCCUUUUUCAUUUCUUCUCAAAUUACUCUCUAUCCAUGGCCACCGCCCCUGCGGCACUGAUGCAAUAUCUCGCAGACCCCAUUCUCUUCAAUAUCGCUCACUGCCUCCAAACCCAAACUGAACUCAGCCGUUUUCGCGCCGUCUGCAGCUCGUUCCGCUUCACCCUUCUUCUCCCCUCUCCGAAACUUGCUCCCGUUCAUUAUUACUAUGACCCCGGAAUCUCCGACCCUCCUUUGCAGCUCAUCAUUGCCGAAUCCACUGUCUAUGCCUUGCAAGCCCUUUCCCACGAGGCCCCUCCGUGGAUAGUCAAAGUUGAAAAAUCUAGCCAGGCGAAAUCCCGGGUCCGCGACCCCUUUUCUCGCCGCCAUUUUGAAGAACACGUUCUUGAAAUGUUGCCUCAGUCAGUGAACUUGCUGGAAUAUCGUGUGCAGGAAAUGGGUAAAGGCUAUAGAAUUGACUGGGUUCUGGAUGAACAUCCGAGACAGUUUAGUGGGUGGAAAUAUAUUUUGUUGCAAAAAGUUUGCCGUCUCUGUAGAUAAUGAUGAGUUAGCAGUCAUGGUUUUUCUGAAUUUGGAAUUGAUGGUUUGGAGGAGCUGUGAUAAGAAAUGGAUCGACUUGGGUUUUGGUGAUGUUGAUGUUCAGGAUAUUGUUUAUUAUAAGAAGCAGUUUCAUGUGGAAAUGUCAAAUGGGCAUAUUUUAAGCGUUAAUUCGGAGUCUUUGGAGCUAGACGAAGAAGAGGAAGAGUGGAUUGAAGUGAAGGAUUUGGAGGGUAGAGCAUUGUUUCUGUUUGAUGGAGGUAGCUUAUUUAUUUUGUCUAAAGAUUUUCCGGCAAUAAAACCAAAUUGUGUUUAUAUGGGUGAAACUGGUUUCUUUGUGGUUACAUAUGAUUUCCCCGGGAUGUAUGCUUCAAGUUUCAACUUCAGUGACGGUAGUAAUGAGUAGCUCGUAUCAUUUCCUGAAUCUUCUGAGAUUUUUGGUCCUGCACCAGCUUGGCUCUUCCCUGAAUGUGCGAAGACAUUUUAUCUAGGAAGUUUCUGGGAUCAACCACUUGAAGAGUGUUUCAUCAUCAAUGUGAAGAUUUGAUUACCAUCUUGGUCGGACCAUUUUAUUAGUUGGCACUACCAACUUGGUAGUUGUGUUGGUUUUAUUUUGUGAGCAUGUAUAUAUGCAUUAUGGGUCUUAAUGUUAUGAAACUAGAUUUGAGCUUGGUCAUUUAAUUCUCCUGUUAUGCCUUCAGACUCCUGUAUUUAAGCUUGGUCGUUUCCUCUACUUUUUGAGCUGCUAAUACUGUCCUGAUGAGCUUAGAGUCUUUCAAAUUAUUGUUGUGAUGAUAAUUGGAGGAGUGUUGAAGCCACAUUAGGACUGCAAAUGAGGUGAGAUGCUCUCAAACUGCACAUGGCUUGGCUUAUAUCAAGCGGAGCUGUGCUUGUAGUUGUUUUGAUUUUAAAUAUGAGGAUAAUUGAUUAAUAUC